UACGUAGGGAGCAAGCGUUGUCCGGAAUCAUUGGGCGUAAAGCGCGCGUAGGUGGCCCGGUAAGUCCGCUCUGAAAGUCACAGGCUCAACCUGUGAAAGCGGGUGGAUACUGCCGGGCUAGAGUCCGGAAGAGGCGAGUGGAAUUCCUGGUGUAGCGGUGGAAUGCGCAGAUAUCAGGAGGAACACCAACGGCGAAGGCAGCUCGCUGGGACGGUACUGACACUGAGGCGCGAAAGCGUGGGUAGCAAACAGG
rnacentral:rRNA from 1 species